ACAAGGUUCUCCACUGAGGGAAGACCAUGUGACUAUACAACAGGAAGGUAGUUGUUUACAAGCCAGGAAGAGAGCCCUCACCAGAAACCAAAUUGGCUGGCAUCUUGAUCAUGGACUCCUGGGCUCCAGAACUGUAAGAAAAUACAUUUGUGUUGUGGAAGCCACCCAGCCCAUGGUAUUUCGUUAUGGCAGCCUGAGCAGAGGUGGUAGCUAUGUGGACUGUUUUUGGACUUCUCUAUUGUUGCCCUUCAUCACUCAGCAGUGAAGAAUGAAAAUCAACAGAGCUUUCCCCAGCCUGCUGCUUAAGCAGCUGCUAACAGGCUGAGGCUGCCCAGCCUCAUUAACCCAUUAGAUGCUGCAUUCGCCCAGGAGUCAUUCUUAAUGAGGCUGCUGCAGAGACGGGGUUUCACCAUAUUGCCCAGACUGGUCUCGAACUCCUGGCUUCAAGUGAUCCUCCUGUCUCAACCUCCCAAAGUGCUGGGAUUACAGAUAAGAAAACAGAAGCAAAGGCAGAAAGAUGCUACAUUGCCAGCUUUGAAGAUGGAGGGAAGAGGCCACAAACCAAGGAA
rnacentral:lncRNA from 1 species